CAGUCGCCACGGUAAUACGAAGGGGGCUAGCGUUGUUCGGAAUUACUGGGCGUAAAGGGCGCGUAGGCGGCCAUUCAAGUUAGAUGUGAAAGCCCUGGGCUCAACCUAGGAAUUGCAUUUGAUACUGUUUGGCUUGAGUUCGGGAGAGGUGAGUGGAAUUCCCAGUGUAGAGGUGAAAUUCGUAGAUAUCAGGAGGAACACCUGUGGCGAAAGCGGCUCACUGGACCAUAACUGACGCUGAGGCACGAAAGCUAGGGGAGCAAACAGGAUUAGAUACCCCCGUAGUCCCUGUCUCUUAUAC
rnacentral:rRNA from 1 species